rnacentral:rRNA from 1 species
UAGAGUUUGAUCCUGGCUCAGGACGAACGCUGGCGGCGUGCUUAACACAUGCAAGUCGAACGGGCCCUUCGGGGUUAGUGGCGAACGGGUGAGUAACACGUGGGUAACCUGCCCCAGGCUCUGGGAUAACUCCGGGAAACCGGGGCUAAUACCGGAUAUGACUGAUGCCCGCAUGGGUGGUGGUGGAAAGUUUUUCGGUCUGGGAUGGGCCCGCGGCCUAUCAGCUUGUUGGUGGGGUGAUGGCCUACCAAGGCGUUGACGGGUAGCCGGCCUGAGAGGGCGACCGGCCACACUGGGACUGAGACACGGCCCAGACUCCUACGGGAGGCAGCAGUGGGGAAUAUUGGACAAUGGGGGCAACCCUGAUCCAGCAAUGCCGCGUGUGUGAAGAAGGCCUUCGGGUUGUAAAGCACUUUUAUCGGGAAAGAAACGCGCGAGGCUAAUACUCUCGCGAACUGACGGUACCCGAUGAAUAAGCACCGGCUAACUCCGUGCCAGCAGCCGCGGUAGCCCAAUCGCC